AUUGAACGCUGGCGGCAGGCCUAACACAUGCAAGUCGAGCGGAUGAAGGGAGCUUGCUCCUGGAUUCAGCGGCGGACGGGUGAGUAAUGCCUAGGAAUCUGCCUGGUAGUGGGGGAUAACGUCCGGAAACGGGCGCUAAUACCGCAUACGUCCUGAGGGAGAAAGUGGGGGAUCUUCGGACCUCACGCUCUCAGAUGAGCUUAGGUCGGAUUAGCUAGUUGGUGGGGUAAAGGCCUACCAAGGCGACGAUCCGUAACUGGUCUGAGAGGAUGAUCAGUCACACUGGAACUGAGACACGGUCCAGACUCCUACGGGAGGCAGCAGUGGGGAAUAUUGGACAAUGGGCGAAAGCCUGAUCCAGCCAUGCCGCGUGUGUGAAGAAGGUCUUCGGAUUGUAAAGCACUUUAUGGUGGGAGGAAGGGCAGUAAGUUAAUACCUUGCUGUUUUGACGUUACCAACAGAAUAAGCACCGGCUAACUUCGUG
rnacentral:rRNA from 1 species